GAUGAACGCUGGCGGCGUGCCUAACACAUGCAAGUCAAGGAGAAGGUAACCUUCGGGGAACCGGAUACUGGCGCACGGGUGAGUAACACGUGGAUUAUCUACCCUUUACACAGACAUAACUCAGGGAAACUUGAGCUAAUAUCUGAUGAGGCCUCCGGGUCAAAGCUUCGGCGGUAAAGGAUGAGUCUGCGUCUGAUUAGCUAGUUGGUAAGGUAAUGGCUUACCAAGGCGACGAUCAGUAACUGGUCUGAGAGGACGAUCAGUCACACUGGAACUGAGACCCGGUCCAGACUCCUACGGGAGGCAGCAGUGAGGAAUUUUGGACAAUGGGGGAAACCCUGAUCCAGCGACGCCGCGUGUGGGAUGAAUGGGUUAUGCCCUGUAAACCACUGUCAGCAGAGAAGUAAAAGGUUCCUUUGGAACCCGGGACUGUAUCUGCAGAGGAAGGACCGGUCUAACUACGUG
rnacentral:rRNA from 1 species